rnacentral:rRNA from 1 species
GGGUUGUGAGGUUAAGUGACUAAGCGUACACGGUGGAUGCCUAGGCAGUCAGAGGCGAUGAAGGGCGUGCUAAUCUGCGAAAAGCGUCGGUAAGGUGAUAUGAACCGUUACAACCGGCGAUACCCGAAUGGGGAAACCCAGUGUGUUUCGACACACUAUCAUGUCAUGAAUACAUAGUGGCAUGAGGCGAACCGGGGGAACUGAAACAUCUAAGUACCCCGAGGAAAAGAAAUCAACCGAGAUUCCCCCAGUAGCGGCGAGCGAACGGGGAGGAGCCCAGAACCUGAAUCGGCUUGUGUGUUAGUGGAAGCGUCUGGAAAGUCGCGCAGCAAAGGGUGAUAGCCCCGUACACUAAAAUGCACAGGUCGUGAGUUCGAUGAGUAGGGCGGGACACGUGACAUCCUGUCUGAAUAUGGGGGGACCAUCCUCCAAGGCUAAAUACUCCUGACUGACCGAUAGUGAACCAGUACCGUGAGGGAAAGGCGAAAAGAACCCCGGCGAGGGGAGUGAAAUAGAACCUGAAACCGUGUACGUACAAGCAGUGGGAGCACCUUCGUGGUGUGACUGCGUACCUUUUGUAUAAUGGGUCAGCGACUUAUAUUUUGUAGCAAGGUUAACCGUAUAGGGGAGCCGUAGGGAAACCGAGUCUUAACUGGGCGAAUAGUUGCAAGGUAUAGACCCGAAACCCGGUGAUCUAGCCAUGGGCAGGUUGAAGGUUGGGUAACACUAACUGGAGGACCGAACCGACUAAUGUUGAAAAAUUAGCGGAUGACUUGUGGCUGGGGGUGAAAGGCCAAUCAAACCGGGAGAUAGCUGGUUCUCCCCGAAAGCUAUUUAGGUAGCGCCUCGUGAACUCAUCUUCGGGGGUAGAGCACUGUUUCGGCUAGGGGGCCAUCCCGGCUUACCAAACCGAUGCAAACUCCGAAUACCGAAGAAUGUUAUCACGGGAGACACACGGCGGGUGCUAACGUCCGUCGUGAAGAGGGAAACAACCCAGACCGCCAGCUAAGGUCCCAAAGUCAUGGUUAAGUGGGAAACGAUGUGGGAAGGCACAGACAGCCAGGAUGUUGGCUUAGAAGCAGCCAUCAUUUAAAGAAAGCGUAAUAGCUCACUGGUCGAGUCGGCCUGCGCGGAAGAUGUAACGGGGCUAAACCAUGCACCGAAGCUGCGGCAGCGACGCUUAGGCGUUGUUGGGUAGGGGAGCGUUCUGUAAGCCGUUGAAGGUGGCCUGUGAGGGUUGCUGGAGGUAUCAGAAGUGCGAAUGCUGACAUAAGUAACGAUAAAGCGGGUGAAAAGCCCGCUCGCCGGAAGACCAAGGGUUCCUGUCCAACGUUAAUCGGGGCAGGGUGAGUCGACCCCUAAGGCGAGGCUGAAAAGCGUAGUCGAUGGGAAACAGGUUAAUAUUCCUGUACUUGGUGUUACUGCGAAGGGGGGACGGAGAAGGCUAGGCUAGCCGGGCGACGGUUGUCCCGGUUUAAGCGUGUAGGGGGUGUGACCUGGUAAAUCCGGUUGCAUACUAACCCUGAGGCGUGAUGACGAUGCACUACGGUGCAGAAGUAGUUGAUGCCCUGCUUCCAGGAAAAUCCUCUAAGCUCCAGGUAACAUUNNNNNNNNNNNNNNNNNNNNNNNNNNNNNNNNNNNNNNNNNNNNNNNNNNNNNNNNNNNNNNNNNNNNNNNNNNNNNNNNGAAGCCAGUCGAAGAUACCAGCUGGCUGCAACUGUUUAAUAAAAACACAGCACUGUGCAAACACGAAAGUGGACGUAUACGGUGUGACGCCUGCCCGGUGCUGGAAGGUUAAUUGAUGGGGUCAGCCGCAAGGCGAAGCUCUUGAUCGAAGCCCCAGUAAACGGCGGCCGUAACUAUAACGGUCCUAAGGUAGCGAAAUUCCUUGUCGGGUAAGUUCCGACCUGCACGAAUGGCGUAAUGAUGGCCAGGCUGUCUCCACCCGAGACUCAGUGAAAUUGAACUCGCUGUGAAGAUGCAGUGUACCCGCGGCAAGACGGAAAGACCCCGUGAACCUUUACUAUAGCUUGACACUGAACAUUGAGCCUUGAUGUGUAGGAUAGGUGGGAGGCUUUGAAGCGUGGACGCCAGUCUGCGUGGAGCCAUCCUUGAAAUACCACCCUUUAAUGUUUGAUGUUCUAACUCUGCCCCAUAAUCUGGGGUGAGGACAGUGUCUGGUGGGUAGUUUGACUGGGGCGGUCUCCUCCCAAAGAGUAACGGAGGAGCACGAAGGUUAGCUAAUCACGGUCGGACAUCGUGAGGUUAGUGCAAAGGCAUAAGCUAGCUUGACUGCGAGAGUGACGGCUCGAGCAGGUACGAAAGUAGGUCUUAGUGAUCCGGUGGUUCUGAAUGGAAGGGCCAUCGCUCAACGGAUAAAAGGUACUCCGGGGAUAACAGGCUGAUACCGCCCAAGAGUUCAUAUCGACGGCGGUGUUUGGCACCUCGAUGUCGGCUCAUCACAUCCUGGGGCUGAAGUAGGUCCCAAGGGUAUGGCUGUUCGCCAUUUAAAGUGGUACGCGAGCUGGGUUUAGAACGUCGUGAGACAGUUCGGUCCCUAUCUGCCGUGGGCGUUGGAAGAUUGAGAGGGGUUGCUCCUAGUACGAGAGGACCGGAGUGAACGCACCACUGGUGUUCGGGUUGUCAUGCCAAUGGCAUUGCCCGGUAGCUAAGUGCGGAAAAGAUAAGCGCUGAAAGCAUCUAAGCGCGAAACUUGCCUCAAGAUGAGUCUUCCCUGGGCCUUUAAGGCCCCUGAAGGAACGUUUAAGACUAAGACGUUGAUAGGCUGGGUGUGUAAGUGCAGCGAUGCAUUGAGCUAACCAGUACUAAUGAUCCGUGAGGCUUAACCUUACAACACCGAAGGUGUUUUAG